UGACGAAGCGACGCCCGCGUGUGGGAAGAAGCCCUUCGGGUUGUAAACCACUGUCAGGAGUUAAGAAAUGUAAGGGUGCUAAUAGUAUCCUUACUUGACUAAGGCUCCAGAGGAAGCCACGGCUAACUCUGUGCCAGCAGCCGCGGUAAUACAGAGGUGGCAAGCGUUGUUUGGAAUUAUUGGGCGUAAAGAGCACGUAGGCGGUUCUGCAAGUCGGCUGUGAAAGCCUUCCGCUCAACGGAAGAACAGCAGUUGAUACUACAGGACUAGAGUGCGGGAGGGGAGAGUGGAACUUCUGGUGGAGCGGUGAAAUGCGUAGAUAUCAGAAGGAACGCCGGCGGCGAAAGCGACUCUCUGGCCCGUAACUGACGCUGAGUGUGCGAAAGCUAGGGGAGCAAACGGGAUUAGAUACCCCGGUAGUCCUAGCCGUAAACGAU
rnacentral:rRNA from 1 species